rnacentral:rRNA from 1 species
UACGUAGGGUGCGAGCGUUGUCCGGAAUUAUUGGGCGUAAAGAGCUCGUAGGCGGCCUGUCGCGUCGGAUGUGAAAGCCCGGGGCUUAACCCCGGGUCUGCAUUCGAUACGGGCAGGCUAGAGUUCGGUAGGGGAGAUCGGAAUUCCUGGUGUAGCGGUGAAAUGCGCAGAUAUCAGGAGGAACACCGGUGGCGAAGGCGGAUCUCUGGGCCGAUACUGACGCUGAGGAGCAAAAGCGUGGGGAGCAAACAGG